rnacentral:rRNA from 1 species
GAUGAACGCUGGCGGCGUGCCUAAUACAUGCAAGUCGAGCGAACGGACGAUAAGCUUGCUUCUCUGAUGUUAGCGGCGGACGGGUGAGUAAUACGUGGAUAACCUACCUAUAAGACUGGGAUAACUUCGGGAAACCGGAGCUAAUACCGGAUAAUAUUUUGAACCGCAUGGUUCAAAAGUGAAAGACGGUCUUGCUGUCACUUAUAGAUGGAUCCGCGCUGCAUUAGCUAGUUGGUAAGGUAACGGCUUACCAAGGCAACGAUGCAUAGCCGACCUGAGAGGGUGAUCGGCCACACUGGAACUGAGACACGGUCCAGACUCCUACGGGAGGCAGCAGUAGGGAAUCUUCCGCAAUGGGCGAAAGCCUGACGGAGCAACGCCGCGUGAGUGAUGAAGGUCUUCGGAUCGUAAAACUCUGUUAUUAGGGAAGAACAUAUGUGUAAGUAACUGUGCACAUCUUGACGGUACCUAAUCAGAAAGCCACGGCUAACUACGUG